AACAAAAUGCCGAACGACGAGUGUGCCACUUAUUAGCCGCCCAGAAGCUGCGGUAUAUAAAAAAAAUGCAAGUUGUUCAAUAAAUCAGUCUUCUUACCCUCAACUCGCAGCCUUGACUCGUGUUGUAGGGAAAUGCUAAUCAACAGCUCUGCUCAGAGCUACAAGAACCUUCUACACUUCCAGGGAUAUGGGUAGUUGCUGAAGUGGGACUCUUAACCGCUCUCCCACCUCGGAGACAAGGACAACCAGGCGGUGCAACCCUCAGCUAGCCUGGGGCAACCGUAACAAUUGCAAUCAAGCUUCUUUUAUGCACAGACCACUAUAGGGGGUCUCCAUUCAACACAACACAAUCCCAGGCAGGAGGGGGCUGGGUUACAGAUAGCCAACUCCCGCUCUGGGAGAUAUCAACAGUAGGGAUAUACUUUCAAGCACCUUAUAUACAGGGGGCAAACUUUGCGGCUCGGCACCCCAGGAAGGGAAGUGGUCACAUGGAUUACUAGAUAGCCCCGGGUCCCCUCUGGGAUCCCUGCAAAUAGCGGGGCUAUCAGAUGUACAGAGCCCGAGUAAUCAUUGUAUAAAGUCUGGGACUCGCGGCUCUGUACAUCCCCGAAAUUAGUGCCAUAAAGUUGCUUGGUUUAGUCCGGCAAUUUCAAACUUUGCGCCUAAACCAAGCAACAACCAAUCAGCUGAAAGGCGCGAAACCAAAUUGCAC